rnacentral:rRNA from 1 species
UGGGGAAUAUUGCGCAAUGGGCGAAAGCCUGACGCAGCGACGCCGCGUGAGGGAUGAAGGUUUUCGGAUCGUAAACCUCUGUCAGAAGGGAAGAAACCGCACUGUGCUAAUCAGCAGUGCCUUGACGGUACCUUCAAAGGAAGCACCGGCUAACUCCGUGCCAGCAGCAGCGGUAAUACGGAGGGUGCAAGCGUUAAUCGGAAUUACUGGGCGUAAAGCGCACGUAGGCUGCUUUGUAAGUCAGGGGUGAAAUCCCACGGCUCAACCGUGGAACUGCCUUUGAUACUGCUUAGCUUGAAUCCGGGAGAGGGUGGCGGAAUUCCAGGUGUAGGAGUGAAAUCCGUAGAUAUCUGGAGGAACAUCAGUGGCGAAGGCGGCCACCUGGACAGGUAUUGACGCUGAGGUGCGAAAGCGUGGGGAGCAAACAGG